UUACACACACGUGAAACCUUUUCAUUAAUUUUUUUUUUUUGCUUGUGUCCCACGAAUGGUUUCAAUGAUAUAUAAAAUGAGAUGAAUUCUAGCUCAAGCUCGCAAUUAUGGGAAAAGUUUACUUGAUUGAAUUGUGAAUCAAAUGCCUAGCUCCCCUAUUCCUUCCACUGCCAAGAAUAAAUUUUCAUAAAGUCGCAAAUUAGUUGGCAAGGCUUGACUUUUUGCACAUGAAUGUCACGAGAUAUCUGAUCCAAAGAAUGUAUACCUUGUUCGUAGAACCCACUAGUUUUUAUAUUUUUUUGACUGAAUAGAACCCACUAGUUAGUAGUAC
rnacentral:lncRNA from 1 species